UACGGAGGGGGCAAGCGUUGCUCGGAAUUACUGGGCGUAAAGCGUGCGUAGGCGGUUUGGUAAGUCAGAUGUGAAAGCCCGGGGCUCAACCUGGGAAUGGCGUUUGAAACUACGGAGCUGGAGUGUGGAAGAGGGAGGUAGAAUUCCACGUGUAGCGGUGAAAUGCGUAGAUAUGUGGAGGAAUACCGAUGGCGAAGGCAGCCUCCUGGGCCAAAACUGACGCUCAUGCACGAAAGCGUGGGGAGCAAACAGG
rnacentral:rRNA from 1 species